UUUUUAACUAUAAUUACACUAUUCCGUAACAAUAAACUAUGGUUACUUAUAUCCGUGUCAAAUGUGAUAAUAUAUUCUUAAUCAUGUGAAAUAUUGACACGGAUACGUGAAAUACAAAAUUAGACACAACUUUUCGUAAGAAUAGAACCCGGCACAUUUACACAGAUAUCUGUUAGAGUUAUACAUCUAUUUCUAACGAAUUUGAGUGACAUUAAACCAUUGAACCCUAAUAUGCUUACCUUCCAAAAAAACUCAUAUUAUCCUUAUACGUCCUCCGCCUCUUUUUAACUUUUUUUUUGGGUCUGAUCUGUUUCUCUUUCUCUAUCUUUCUCCUUCAAAAACUCUACUUCUCUCCUUUGUUGGCUCCGAACCGGAGUCCUACGUUCAUCGCCCUCUCACACCGCCGCCACCACCACUAAGAGCAGCGGAUGAACAUGAACAAAACCCAGGUUUUAUUACACCGCGUUUUAGUUUCCUCAUAUAUGUUUUUGAAUUCAAGAAUGGAUCUUGAAUGACGACUCAGAUCUUGUCAAUCGGUUGCAGGUAUAUUACCCAAGAAAUAGUAGAUUGGUUGUAGGUGAAUUCUCUCUACCUCGAUCUAUCCUUUUUACCCCAUAUUGUAUAAUCAAUUUGUUGGUUGAAUCUCAAUCUUUUGUUUCUGUUCUUAGUUCUUGUUCAUCGGCCUCUCA
rnacentral:lncRNA from 1 species